rnacentral:ribozyme from 1 species
AAAAAAGAAAGAAAGGGUAUAUAAACAAAAAAGCGGAAAUAGGAAAGACGUUUUUAAACAGGAUCACACACGCUGUUGUUUUUUCUUACUUCUUCUUUUUCUCCUCAUCCCAAUUUUCGAUAUCCAAAUAAAAAGUAGUAAAAGAGAAGUCUAUAUCAUAAUCAAAAUUUACGGAGGUCUAUAUACACUAUAUCUUUUUUUAUUCAACUUUUUAUUUUAACUAAAA